AUCAGAGCAGUUAUCACCAGCCCACAGUAGCACAGGAUUCAGGUAAAUCGGAGGGGAUCUGAGGAGGAGGAAAACGUCGCCGCAGGGAGAGGAGAAGGGGGCAAGCGACUCACCGAUUUGGGCGGGUGCAGCGCGAGCUUCUUCAGGCGCGGGGGCUGCGCCGCCGCCGCGUGGCACAGCCGCCGGGCCGCCGCGCCCGCCCUCGCCGCAACCGCCGCCAUGGAGAACUACUGACUAGCUCACCCAGAAGCAGAGCCGGCGGAGGAGCGACGCGAUCACAGCCGUCCGUUCCCGACCACGUGGUGGAAGCGUUUUCUCUUUUCUGUGGCCUGCAAAGGCCCACGCCUUUCCCACUUUCCGCCUUCGCCCCAGCUCGCCCGCCGCCCACGCACGCGCAGCGCCCAGCCACUUGGAGCCACGAGUCGGAUGUUGCGGCGCGCGUCAUUAAGGCAGGGGGGCAUCUAGAUUCUAGACUACAUCCAUUCCCUCCUCUCCGGCGGCCGCAAUGCCGCUGCCGCUGGCGCAGGUGCAGGAGCUGCGGGACCGCCUCUCCGACCGCUUCCGCCCGUGGAGACGCUCCGCGCAGUUCUGGGUCCGCGCCGUCGACAUCUACGGCAGCUACAAGGUGUGCCAGCUGCGAACGGGGUUCGUCAAGGAUGAGGAGGAGCGGCAGGCCAUGUGGGAGCAGCAGCACGAGAUCGGCGCCCAGAAGAUGUACUCCCUCUGCUCCGAGCUCGGCGGCCUCUUCCUCAAGGCUGCUCAAAUUCUGGGGAAGCCCGAUUUGGCGCCGACGGCCUGGGUGAAGAGGCUUGUUACAUUGUGCGACAAGGCUCCGUCCACGCCGAUCGAAGUUGUCAGAGAUGUUGUGGAGAAACAGUUCUGCAAGAGCUUUGAUGAGAUAUUCGAUUUCUUUGAAGUUGAGCCUGUUGGGUCUGCUUCUAUUGCACAGGUGCAUCGAGCGAGGCUUAAAUCAUCCAAGACAGAUGUUGCUGUCAAGGUUCAACAUCCAGGAGCUGAACAAUUGAUGAUGGUUGAUAUCCGGAACAUGCAAGCAUUUGCCUUGUUCUUACAGAAAUAUGACAUCAACUUUGAUCUGUUCUCCGCCACAAAAGAGAUGGAAAAGCAGAUAUGCUAUGAGUUUGAUUUUGUGCGAGAAGCGAGAGCAAUGGAAAGAAUACGAGAAUUCUUACGUGUCAGCAAUAAGAAACCUCCGGUUAUGGUGCCUCGUGUGAUUCCUGGAAUGAUUAGCAGGGAGGUCUUGGUCAUGGAAUUCAUACAAGGAACCCCAAUAAUGAAUCUCAGCAAUGAAAUGUCUAAAAGAGGAAUUGAUCCUGCUGGUAAGCUUGCAGCAAUGGCAAAGCAGAAGAUUCUAACGGAUCUUACACUUGCUUAUGGCCAAAUGAUCUUGAAGGAUGGCUUUUUCCAUGCAGAUCCACACCCAGGAAACAUCCUUAUCUGCAACAACACAGAGGUAGCUUUGCUUGACUAUGGACAAGUGAAAGAAAUGCCAGAGGAUUUACGACUGGCUUAUGCAAAUCUUGUCAUUGCCAUGGCCGAUGAUGACCUUUUGAGGACUAAAGAGAGUCUGAGAACAAACUCGCCAAUCAUAGGGGGUGGGUAGUUGUAUAACGCUUCGAAUGGUGACUGUUUGAUUGCCGAGUGAAAAGAAGUGUUGUACCACCAUUCUGCAAAUGAGAGCCAUUGCUUAGGUUCUUGGAAGACCAUGCUAAUGAGUGAAUUUGGUUUCAAAACAUGGAGUAUAGCAGACAAUGAGCUAGAAGAACUGUUUCAGUUAUCUCUUAGAAUGUUUGAUACAAGAUUACCGCCUGGAGUAACCGUGCUCUCGCCCUUUGCUGAUGAUUCUUCACUGAAUAAAGUUGGAGUAGAGAGCUUCCCAGAGGAAUUAUUUUCGGUGCUUCGGACGAUACAACUGUUGCGUGGGCUGACUGUAGGGAUGGGCCUCCGUUUUUCUUGUGCUCAGCAAUGGAAACCAAUUGCCGAGGAAGCUUUGUUAAAGGCUGGGAGAAUAAAAGAUGUAAAAUCAAGAAGACCAAGAAGAAGUUUCCUUAGAAGGUUGUUUUAGGGAAGUAGAGAUGACAACAGCCAAAGAACCGAUAUGUAAAUCAUUCUGUAACGAACUGGCAGUAACCAAAAGGCAUUUUUUCCCCUUUUACGAGGUUGUAGUGCGGGAUUAUUUGAUACUGAUUAUUUGUUUGUCUUUGAUCACAAAUUAUAUAUAAUAUGACAAGAAACAUGUACUUUAAAAAAAGGAAAGGAAUAAGAGAAAAGUGUAUAAUUUAA